UUUUUUAAUUGAGGACUGGAAUGAAAGGUUGCAAGUGUAAAGGAUUGUUUUUUUUAAUGAUUUUGAAUUUAAUUUAAAGGUAAAAAAGCUUUUAUCAAUCUUUGGGACGAGAAGACCCUAGAAGUUUUUACCAGGAAUGGUUUUGAUUGGGGUAAUCAAUGAAGAUUAAAAUUUUUAUUAGAUAUAGGGGAAGGUAUAUUAAAUUACUCUAGGGAUAACAGCGUUAUUUAAUUAGUGAGUUCUUAUUAAAAAUUAAGUUUGCGACCUCGAUGUUGAAUUAAAUUUAACUUUUUGGUGAAGGGGCUAAUUUAAGAGUUAGUCUGUUCGACUAUGAAAUUUUUACGUGAUCUGA
rnacentral:rRNA from 1 species